GUGGAGCAAGAGCGAGUUGUAUGUCUUAUCAUUUAUUGAUUAUUCUACUUUUAAAUCAUUUGGAGUUGGACGAAGUUGACUUACAUCGUUUGGAAAUUGGGAUUGUUCAAGAGUGUAGUGUUUAUAGUUAAAAGUUGAAGUGAAUGCAUAUCAGAAUCCAUGGCGGCGUGGGCGUUAGCUUUGUUGCUCUUCUUCAACCACCUACUCCUCCACGCGGCACCACAAACUAUCACCGAUCCUACACAAGGUUCAUUAAACAAGGACAUGCAAUGGAAUUUGGAGAAAAAUUUAUUGUCUGGGCCACUGUAGCCGUCUGUUGGUAAACUAACGCAAUUGAGUACACCUUGAACAUUCGCAUUAAUAAAUUAUCAGGGGAACUUCCGAAGGAACUUGGACAUUUUUCAUCUACUCUGUAAGAUAUCUGGCCUUUGGGACUAACACUUUCUCCGGUCCAUUACCAUCAGCGCUUGGAAAGCUCUUUAUGCUACAGGAACUGUACUUUGAUAGCUCUGGAGUGCAAGGCGAUAAUCCCACAACAUUUUCAAAUCUAACGAAUUUGCGGACAGUAUGGGCAUCGAAAUACCUGGAUUCAUUGGGGGCUGGCCAAAGCUCACUACUUUGUAAUACACUACUUUCUUAUGCUUAUUCCCACCCACCUUUUCUAAACACUACAAAACUAGAGAGAGAGAGAAUCUAUUAUUUCUAUUGUUCUUUGGAGGGGUAUAACACUUGUUACAAUACAACAAUCCAAUGGUUCACUCAUAUUGAGGAUGGAUUAAAAUACAAAGGAUCUCCCUCUCGUUGGGAUAUUGAAACGUUGGAACACAUGAGAUGCUUGUGGCCCACCUCGUUGAAACACCAUGGAUCACCCCUAACUUCUGAGGCCCACUCGUACAAAAAUAGCUCAACCCCUUAGCCAAACCCAGCUCCCGAUCAACCCCAUCGACCAUGCCUCGUGGAGCCAAAUAUUUCCCAUUCGUCUAACCCACCUCCAUAAAUGAAAGUCCACCUUGCUCACAUAAACUAAAGGCCACUAGCCCCCCCACCCCAUGUUAAGUCAACCUCCACAAUCCCACCUACUAUACCACUUCUUAUUUCCGAUCCACAAGUUGUGAUAGCAUAACAAGGAAAAGAACCAAAAAACCUUCCUCGUCCCAAGAAUAAAAUUCUCUACUAUCAGCUCUCACCAAGAAACUGAUGACGAAUAUACAUCUAGUUCUCUUCUCCUCUCCACAGCUCCGCAUCCCCUAUAGCGUGUUAGGUUUGAUUUAGAUUUAGAUUUGAUUUAGUUAUUUGAUUUAGAUUUCCUCGUUUUUCGUGUAUUCUGUAACGCUAUAUAAUAGCCAAUUUCAUUCUUCAAUAGAGUGUGAGAUUUCUCUCAAUUCUUCUAAUCUUUCCAGUUUUAUCUUUGUUCUUAACAUUUUGUAUUAGAGUCAUGCCCUAAACUUAGCCAAGUUAAAAAUAGAAGUAACAAUCUUCUACGUGUGUCAUAAUAAAAGUAUGUCCAUGGAGAGUUCAUUUGUGCAGCGUGCAAUUCCGAAAUUUGAUGGGUACUAUGAUCAUUGGGCGAUGCGCAUGGAAAACUUUUUGGGUUCAAAGGAGUACUGGGAUUUGGUGGAGAAUGGGAUUCCUGCAUCAACAGAAGACAUCGUUUUCACAAAUACCUAGAAGAAGCACAUUGAAGAUCAGAAGUUGAAAGAUUUGAAAGCAAAGAAUUGUCUAUUUCAAGCAUUAGAUCGUUCGAUCUUGGAGACAAUCCUCAACAAGGAUACAACAAAGAACAUAUGAGAUUCUAUGAAGCAGAAAUAUCAAGGUUCAACACGGGUAAAGCAUGCACAUUUGCAAGCUCUUCGGAAGGAGUUUGAAAUGCUUCACAUGAAGGCAGAAGAAUCUGUGGAUGAGUAUUUUGCUUGGACCCUUAGCAUAGCCAACAAGAUGAAACUAAAUGGUGAGAACAAAGGAGAUGUUGAAGUAGUUGAAAAGAUUCUGAGAUUAUAUUGUGUGUUUCAUUGAGGAGUCCAAGGAUACAACCAUCUUAACCAUUGAUGAGUUGCAAAGUCGCCUGCUUAUGCAUGAACAAUGCAUGAGUUCGAAUGUUGAAGAAGAACACGCUUUGAAGAUCACUCAUGGUGAACAAUCUGGAGGAAGGGGUCAAGGUCGUGGAAGUUUUAGAGGUAGAGGAAGGGGACGAGACAGACAAACCUUCAACAGGGCGGGCCACAGUGGAGUGCUAUAAGUGUCACAAGCUAGGACAUUUUCAAUGGGAAGGUCAAAGGAAGGAGAAGGAGACAAACUAUGCAGAGACUCAAAAAGCGAUGUUGCUGAUGGUUUACGUGAACAUGAAUAAGGCUAAUAGAGAAGAUAUGUGGUUCCUCGACUCGGGAUGUAGCAAUCAUAUGUGUGGGAAGAAGGAAUAUUUUUGAAAUUUUGAUGGAAGUUUCAGAGAUUCAGUGAAGCGGAGCAACAACUCAAGUAUGGUUGUAAUAUGAAUGGGUAAUGUACGGCUGCAAGUGAAUGGAGUCAUACAGAUAAUCACAGGAGUGUUCUAUGUGCCAGAGCGGAAGAAUAAUGUGUUGAGUAUUGGGAAAUUGCAAGCAAAGGUGCUUACCAUUUUGUUUCAAAAUGGAACGUGCAAGGUGUUUCAUCCUAAGAGAGGCUUAAUCAUGGAGACAAAGAUGUCUUUGAAUUGAAUGUUUGUAUUGUAUGCUAUAUCUCAGCCUUUAACAUCCACUUGUUUCAAUACAAUCACAGAAGAUAUUGAGCAACUUUGGCAUGUAGAUAUAGACGGAUUAAAGACUCCACCAAAAGAAGAGGUGGAUGGUUUACCACCACUCAAGUCUCCAUUGAGACUAUGUAAAAAUUGUCUAGUGGGUAAGCAACAAAGGCACUCGUUUCAAAAAAGGAGCACAUGGCAAGUUUCACAAAUUCUCCAAUUGGCGCAUGCUGAUAUUUGUGGACCGAUCAA